rnacentral:rRNA from 1 species
AGACGGAGGAGUGCCUUCGGGAGCCGUAACACAGGUGCUGCAUGGCUGUCGUCAGCUCGUGUCGUGAGAUGUUGGGUUAAGUCCCGCAACGAGCGCAACCCUUGUCAUUAGUUGCCAUCAUUAAGUUGGGCACUCUAAUGAGACUGCCGGUGACAAGCCGGAGGAAGGUGGGGAUGACGUCAAGUCCUCAUGGCCCUUAUGACCAGGGCUUCACACGUCAUACAAUGGUCGGUACAAAGGAAACCCAAGCCGCGAGGUGGAGCCAAUCUCACAAAACCGAUCGUAGUCCGGAUUGCACUCUGCAACUCGAGUGCAUGAAGUCGGAAUCGCUAGUAAUCGCAGGUCAGCAUACUGCGGUGAAUACGUUCCCGGGUCUU